UUCUGUGGGUGUGUCUGUCCUUACAGGUGUCACAUCAGGCCUGCUGCACUUGCCCCUGCUUGCCCAGGGACUUCCCUUCUAACAACGAGAUCUGACAGCAUCUCUAAGUUGAAGAAUGCUGCCUGACACAGGGCCUUGGAAAGACCCCACGCUAUCAGAGGCCCGAUGCCCAAGGUCCAUUAACUUCUCUGUGGAAUCAUCCCUGGGAGCCGGGGUGCGCUCCCGAUGCUGGUCCUCCACAGUCCCUCUCUAAGAUGGUGAGGGUCUGCCCCGAGCUUGGCCUUGGUGCUGAGACCCUACACACAGACUGCAGGUCCCUGAGCACUCCCAGAUAGUCAAGCAUCAGGGUCCCCAGCCCUGCCUCUGGCCAUCCCCCCACCUGCAGCCCAUGCACACGAGGUGAAGAAGCAGCAAGAGGCACACAGAGGGCCACCUUCUCACACCAGGAUCCUUCAGCGGCUCAAGAACCCAAAGUCACCCCAGACCCCAGGCCUGGCCAUCUUUCCCUUUCCCUCAGCUGAGUUCUGAUCAGCUUGCUCCUUUCCAAGUACCAUUACCUGCCACUUAUGGGCUGCAAAAAGAAAUAUAUGGCAGUUCAUAGAUUUUCAGACAUAAUAAAACACGCUUGUCAAGGCCA
rnacentral:lncRNA from 10 species